rnacentral:rRNA from 1 species
UACGGAGGGUGCAAGCGUUAUCCGGAAUUACUGGGCGUAAAGGGCUCGUAGGCGGCCAACUAAGUCAUACGUGAAAUCCCUCGGCUUAACCGGGGAACUGCGUCUGAUACUGGAUGGCUUGAGUUCGGGAGAGGGAUGCGGAAUUCCAGGUGUAGCGGUGAAAUGCGUAGAGAUGUGGAGGAACACCGAUGGCGAAGGCAGCCCCCUGGGUCAAGAUUGACGCUCAUGCACGAAAGCGUGGGGAGCAAACAGG